AAAAAGUGCAGAUUUAUGAGAGGGGAUGGGUCUACCUGGAGUGACUUGAGGAAUACCCAGAAGACCCCGUCCACCUCCUCCUGCUUAGAAUAUGCCUUUUGCUAGCCUGCUGUGAUGCCUGGAAUUUCAUCCUUCACCCAUUGCUGGGCCCACCCACAUAGUUUAAAGCCAAGAUCAGGACAGAGAUGGAGGGAGCUGUCCCCUGGCCACCCUGAUACCUGCUGUUGGAAAUCAACAAACAAACACAAACCCACUUUGCGUUCUGUGAGUGUGCAUGUAUGUUGGUCCCUAGGUGCUGCAGGACAAGAGGAGGGCCAGAAAGCUCUGCCCAUGCCUGGGGAGCAUGCUGGAUCUCCCUUCCAGCUACAGAAGAGGUCAGCACCCUGCCCCCGCUGGCGGUCUUGCUCGAACCUCUGAGAGACCUCUUGGCAACAUGCUGUCCCUCCUAAUUGUCUUCCUCGGUCACCACUGCAGACCAAGCCUUCCAGGUCAUCAGUCACCACGUGGCCCUUGUCCUGGGAGAGUUCUGCACAUCCGCUUCCCUUCACCCCUCCUCACCUCCAGACCCUUCCACUGCAUUAUCGAGAACUCUGUCUCCUAGAGCCUCCCCUCCUCUGAAGGGGCCUUUACCUUCUUUCACUGAAGCCUGGCUGUCCUCAAGCUCCCUGCUCCUUGCAGCCACUCAGGUUGAGGCUGGUUUCUGUCGCCUACAGGCAGGUGUCAGGCAGGGCCUGGACGUAGAGGGGUUACUCAUUUCUCCCUCUCAGUCCUCAGACUCUUUUUUUCUUCCCCCAGUGACUUCAGUCCCCAGCUCCUCUCUCCAUCCACCUUUACUUUCACGGACGCUGACACCCACCUGGACCACUCUGACAACAUCCUGGCUCCCCAACUUCAUCAGACCCUUGCCUUCUUUGAUUUCAGCCACCUCUGAGAUCUGAAAAUUUGCUUUUAUUUAAAAAAUGUCUUAAGUUUACAUAUGUAAAAUUCUUUUUCUGAUGUACAGGUCUAUGGUUUCUUAGACACGCGUGGAUUCUCACAGCCACCACCACAGACAGUACAAGCAACAGUUCCAAUACUCCAGAGAACGCCCUCAUCUCUCCUCACCCCUGCCUUCUGGCAAGCAAUGAGCUGUUCUCUGUUCCUGUAUUUUUGCCUUUUCUAGAAUGCCAUAUAAAUGGAAUUAUAUAGAAUG
rnacentral:lncRNA from 1 species